rnacentral:rRNA from 1 species
UACGUAGGGUGCGAGCGUUAAUCGGAAUUACUGGGCGUAAAGCGUGCGCAGGCGGUUUUGCAAGCCGGAUGUGAAAUCCCCGGGCUUAACCUGGGAAUGGCAUUUGGGACUGCAAGGCUGGAGUGCGGCAGAGGAGACUGGAAUUCCUGGUGUAGCAGUGAAAUGCGUAGAGAUGCGGAGGAACACCGGUGGCGAAGGCGGCAUCCUGGACCGACACUGACGCUGAGGCGCGAAAGCCAGGGGAGCAAACGGG